UGCCAGCCGCCGCGGUAAUACGGAGGGGGUUAGCGUUGUUCGGAAUUACUGGGCGUAAAGCGCACGUAGGCGGAUUGGAAAGUUGGGGGUGAAAUCCCGGAGCUUAACUCCGGAACUGCUCUCAAAACUAUCAAACUAGAGUAUGGCAGGGGGCAGUGGAAUUCCUAGUGUAGAGGUGAAAUUCGUAGAUAUUAGGAGGAACACCAGUGGCGAAAGCGACUGCCUGGACCAUUACUGACGCUGAGGCGCGAAAGCGUGGGGAGCAAACAGGAUUAGAUA
rnacentral:rRNA from 1 species